GCGCAAUCGUCUUCGUCAGUUACCAGCUGAUCAUUUGAUGAUGCAACCACGCUGGCUCUGGACGGUCUGAUACGGUUCUGAAAUUGCUCAAGCGCUGCUCUUCUUGCCGUUGCCAAACAAGAAAGACAAGUUUGGCUUUGCCAGGGUACGCUUCAGAGCCUUCACUGCCAGUGGACUGUCCUUAGCCAUGAGGCAGGUUCCCUGCUGAACAUUGCAGAUGGGGUACUCGUGAGGGCAGCAGCUGUAGUGAUCAUCGCAGCAGGUGGCGCCCUCGAGUGGGCAGCAGCCCCAGGCGUAGCAGUAUUUGCCAUACUCGUAGAUGCAGCAGCAGGUGGUGCUAUCGGGGCAAGUGUAGUAGUUGUCGCAGACGGUGGGAGGCGGGGUUGGGGACGGCGGAGUAGGGCCGGGGUUCGGGGGGUUCUCGCCCUUCUUCAGAGGGUAGGAUGGCUCAACGGCAAUGCCGCACUUGCCACUGCUCGCCUUGAUGUUGCGCUCCAUACGGACGUAGCCGGACUCACCCCAGCUCUUGCCCCACGAGUUCCUCACGAUCCAGUAGUCCUUGCCAUUCUCUGUGCCGUACCCAACAGCAGCGACGCCGUGGUCUAGUGCUGUUCCACAUUUA
rnacentral:misc_RNA from 1 species